rnacentral:rRNA from 1 species
AUUGAGCGCUGGCGGCAGGCUUAACACAUGCAAGUCGAGCGGAGGUGAGGUGCUUGCACCUUAUCUUAGCGGCGGACGGGUGAGUAAUGCUUAGGAAUCUGCCUAUUAGUGGGGGACAACAUUCCGAAAGGAAUGCUAAUACCGCAUACGUCCUACGGGAGAAAGCAGGGGAUCUUCGGACCUUGCGCUAAUAGAUGAGCCUAAGUCGGAUUAGCUAGUUGGUGGGGUAAAGGCCUACCAAGGCGACGAUCUGUAGCGGGUCUGAGAGGAUGAUCCGCCACACUGGGACUGAGACACGGCCCAGACUCCUACGGGAGGCAGCAGUGGGGAAUAUUGGACAAUGGGGGGAACCCUGAUCCAGCCAUGCCGCGUGUGUGAAGAAGGCCUUAUGGUUGUAAAGCACUUUAAGCGAGGAGGAGGCUACUGAGACUAAUACUCUUGGAUAGUGGACGUUACUCGCAGAAUAAGCACCGGCUAACUCUGUGCCAGCCGCCGCGGUAAUAC